CACGUAGGGUGCGAGCGUUGUCCGGAAUUAUUGGGCGUAAAGAGCUCGUAGGCGGUGUGUCGCGUCGGCCGUGAAAACCUGCAGCUUAACUGUGGGCUUGCGGUCGAUACGGGCAUCACUGGAGUUCGGCAGGGGAGACUGGAAUCCCUGGUGUAGCGGUGGAAUGCGCAGAUAUCAGGAGGAACACCGGUGGCGAAGGCGGGUCUCUGGGCAGUAACUGACGCUGAGGAGCGAAAGCGUGGGGAGCGAACAGG
rnacentral:rRNA from 1 species